UACGAAGGGGGGCUAGCGUUGCUCGGAAUCACUGGGCGUAAAGCGCACGUAGGCGGAUCUUUAAGUCAGAGGUGAAAUCCCAAGGCUCAACCUUGGAACUGCCUUUGAUACUGGGGAUCUCGAGUCCGGAAGAGGUGAGUGGAACUGCGAGUGUAGAGGUGAAAUUCGUAGAUAUUCGCAAGAACACCAGUGGCGAAGGCGGCUCACUGGUCCGGUACUGACGCUGAGAAGCGAAAGCAUGGGGAGCGAACAGG
rnacentral:rRNA from 1 species